rnacentral:rRNA from 1 species
UGGGGAAUCUUGGACAAUGGGCGAAAGCCUGAUCCAGCCAUGCCGCGUGAGUGACGAAGGUCUUCGGAUUGUAAAGCUCUUUUGGCGGGGACGAUAAUGACGGUACCCGCAGAAUAAGCCCCGGCUAACUUCGUGCCAGCAGCCGCGGUAAUACGAAGGGGGCUAGCGUUGUUCGGAAUUACUGGGCGUAAAGGGCGCGUAGGCGGCAAUUCAAGUCAUCUGUGAAAUCUCCGGGCUUAACUCGGAACGGUCAGAUGAUACUGCUUUGCUAGAGUGCAGAAGGGGCAAUCGGAAUUCUUGGUGUAGCGGUGAAAUGCGUAGAUAUCAAGAGGAACACCUGAGGUGAAGACGGGUUGCUGGGCUGACACUGACGCUGAGGCGCGAAAGCCAGGGGAGCAAACGGGAUUAGAUACCCCUGUAGUCCCUGAGCGGGCUGGCAAGGCGCAU